ensembl:lncRNA
UCUUCCCACAGGUGAAAAAGGAGGGAGCUACACUCAGGCUGCAGGUCAGUGUGGAGGGUUGUGAUGCCUGAGGCCCUGGUGGUGCAGACAGGAGGCCGUGGGGGGAGCUCACCCACCUUCUCUCGUCUUCUCUCUUGGGGAUUCUGACCCCGUCCUGCUUUUGCUCUCCCCCAGGCAGUGACAGUGCCCAGGGCUCCGAUGUGUCCCUUACCAAGGGUCCUAGAGUGUGAGACAGCUGCCUUGUGGGGACUGAGUGACACAGAUUUGUUCACAUCCCACUUUGUGACUUCAGAUCCCCUGACUCCUGUUUCUGCAGCAGCAUUUGAAUGUGUCUGUGUCCCUAUGAGCAUCAUGAGAGGAGGUGGGCCAUCUCCAUCCCUGUCCUAACUCUGUGUUGCACUGGUAAUGUCUUAAUUUUCCUGUUGGAAAUAAAAUCCAAUAUGAAUUUGUUUUUUCUCAUUUGUGCCAUGAGGAGCAGAUGGAAUAAUAGAAGUGAUGCUGCCUAAAGUUUGAGAAAGAACAUAAAUGAAGGCACUGAGAACUUUCUAGAAGCCACAUGCUUGCUGUGCUGAGUCCAUUACAGGAGAUCCAGGCGGAGGCUGUGGGGAGCCAGGCAUGGACUGGGCCUGGGGGCAGUCUGUGCUCAGUGCUUCAUGGACUGUGACAGGGUCCCUCCUGGGCUGGUUCAUCGUUUCAGCCCCUUUGUCCUUGUUCCUUCAGUAGAACCUUGUGCCACCAAGACCUGUGAUCACAGGGACUCAGACAUCACCUAGGCCUUGUUCUGUCUCCAGGGCUGUGGGCAGUGAGGGCUUCCUGUGACCAGGUCAGCCUAGACUCAAGCCUUGGUCUUUACCCUCAUCUCCCAUCUGGUGUGUGCUUAUAUUUUACUUUUUCAGGUUUUUAGAAUACAACUAGUCUUUUUCAUGUGUAGAGUUUUGGUCUCAUUCGGCUCUGGGUGUCCCCCAUCUCUGAAAGCAGCAGAGUGAUUUUGGCCAGGCAUUGUCCCCACAGGUUCAAGAGGUCCUUGCACACAGGAUUCUCAGUGGUAUUAAAAGAUAAAUUUUCAGACUCACGCAGUUCUUGUCCUCCUUCUAGGGCUGCUUCCUGAAUUAUUCUUUCCAUCCUUUCCACAUAUUUUUUAAGGAACCAGAUUCUGAGAUUAGCAAAGAGGAGGGACCUGAUAGUUUCCUGUGUUGAUUUAAUUCACACUGGGUUUCUAUAUUCCCUGCAGCCCACCCUCUCGCUCUGCCCUUAGACCUAGUAAUCCUAGUGCUGACUCCAAUUUUGCUUUUCUCAAGCUUAUGAGCUGGGAUAGGAAAUGGAACCCACAAUCUAAUUUAUGUGGGAAGCAUAAGAGACAUCAACUCCCUGAAAAUCUAGGAAACCAAGAUUCAUGUCUUCAGAGAGGCCGUGGAGAUACUGGAACGCUUGAAGGCUACUGGUGGGAAUAUAAAGCAGUGCUGCCCCCUUGAAACACAGUCUGGCAGUGCCUCAAGUUUGAACACUGUUACUAUGUGACUCACCAUGCCAUGCCUAGUGUUUACACAGGAGAAAUGAAAACAAAGGUGCACACGAGAACUUGCAAGUGACAGUCAUAGCAGCAUUAUUCAUGAUAGUCAAACAGUAGAAACAGGUCAAUUUUCCCCAACCUAAAAAGUAGUGUAAGGAGUUCCCAUUGUGGCGCAGCAGAAACUUAUCCGACUAGUAUCCAUGAGGAUGCAAGUUCGAUCCCUGGCUUCACUCAGUGGGUCAGGGAUCCCAUGUUGCUGUGGCUGUGGUGUAGUCUGGCAGAUGCAGCUCCAAUUCAACCCCUAGCCUGGGAACUUCUAUAUGCUGCAGGGCAGCCCUAAAAAAAAAAUAAACAAAAAACAAAAAAAAAAAAUUCAUGUGGAAAAUUAUUUGGUAAUAAAAAAGAAUGGAGUACAGAUGCAUAGUAAAGCAUGGAUGAACCUAGACUAUAUUACACACCACAAGAAAACAGAAGCAAAAGAUCAAAUUUGUUUGAUUUUACUUAUAUGAAAUGUCCAUAAGCAAAUAUAUUUAGAUAGAAAGUAGAUGAGUGUUUUCCUAGGCAUGAGGGGAGUGUCGAAGGAAAAUAGAGACUGAUUGCCAGAAAUAAAUGGGUACAGGGGAUGAUGAUGUUCUAAAAAUGCUUUGGGGAGUUCCCUCUUGGCCUAGCGUUGGAUCCAGCAUUGGCACUGCAGUGGCACAGGUUCGAUCCCUGGCCUAGGAACUUCCCCAUGCCAUGGGUAUAGUCAAAAAAUAAUAAAAUAACAAAAUAAAAAUUAAAAUGCUUUGGGGUGAAUAAAUUGUUCCAAAAUUGAUUGUGGCUAUCUAUGGUCACAGCACUCUGUGGAUAUGCCAAAAACCAAUUCAUUUCAAUGGCUGAAUAAUAUGUGUGAAUUAUAUCUAAAUUCUAACUAAAAAAAGUUGUGGCUCACAUUAAAUGCGUUAAUGCCAGAACUGCCAUGGCAAUUGCACAGAAAGACAUGAAAAAGCUCAGAGAAGUGGGCAUGCUGGUAUAAAAGAAAAGUGGACCAGAGUUCCCGUCGUGGCGCAGUGGAAACCAAUCUAAGAACCAUGAGGUUGCAGGAUCGAUCCCUGACCUCACUCAGUGGGUUAAGGAUCUGGCAUUGCUGUGGCUGUGGCGUAGGCCGUCAGCAACAGCUCUGAUUAG